UACGUAGGUGGCAAGCGUUGUCCGGAUUUACUGGGUGUAAAGGGCGUGCAGCCGGAGAGACAAGUCAGAUGUGAAAUCCACGGGCUCAACUCGUGAACUGCAUUUGAAACUGUUUCCCUUGAGUGUCGGAGAGGUAAUCGGAAUUCCUUGUGUAGCGGUGAAAUGCGUAGAUAUAAGGAAGAACACCAGUGGCGAAGGCGGAUUACUGGACGAUAACUGACGGUGGGGCGCGAAAGCGUGGGGAGCAAACAGG
rnacentral:rRNA from 1 species